rnacentral:rRNA from 1 species
AAUGAACGCUGGCGGCAUGCCUAACACAUGCAAGUCGAACGAAGGCUUCGGCCUUAGUGGCGCACGGGUGCGUAACGCGUGGGAAUCUGCCCUUGGGUUCGGAAUAACAGUUAGAAAUGACUGCUAAUACCGGAUGAUGUCGUAAGACCAAAGAUUUAUCGCCCAAGGAUGAGCCCGCGUAGGAUUAGCUAGUUGGUGGGGUAAAGGCCUACCAAGGCGACGAUCCUUAGCUGGUCUGAGAGGAUGACCAGCCACACUGGGACUGAGACACGGCCCAGACUCCUACGGGAGGCAGCAGUGGGGAAUAUUGGACGAUGGGCGAAAGCCUGAUCCAGCAAUGCCGCGUGAGUGAUGAAGGGCUUAGGGUUGUAAAGCUGUUUUAGCCGGGAUGAUAAUGACAGUACCGGGAGAAGAAGCACCGGCUAACUUCGUG